AUUUUUUUGUGUAUUUGACUAUUUUUACUGUGGGCUACUCAGUGAUUUUGAAAAAGUACUUUUAAUGAUUCUUUGAGACUUUCCUGCAGAGAUGAUUUGCAUUUCCUUCUGUAGACCCCAGUGGGCACUACUACUACCAUCAACUAAGUUUAUGGCUUGAGAUUGAUUGGCUGCCCAAAUAGUGUGAUCCAAACUUCAAGUCUGUAUGAGCAUAAGGCCACGGUGACCACAAGUUCUCAGGGACUUUCUCUGCCGUCUUGUCUCUUCUCCUCCAUUUACUCAGUGCCAUGACAACCUUCUCUACAGUCUCCUGAGGGGUGUGUAUGUGUGGAAGGAACUUGACUAUAAAUCAGAGGGCAUUUGCUUUCAGAGAAAGAGAGGUCAAGCCAAGCUUAACCAGCACCUUGUCUUCUGCAUUUUGAGAUGGAUUGUGACUGUGGAGUGGUACAUACAGCUGAUCCUUCUUUGGACAGUUCUGGCUUGAUUCCGCGGUGACCCAGUAACCCAGGCUUCUAACCCCACUGAGCUUCUUUUAUUCAGUGCAGUUCAUGCUUCUCUGACCGAUCCAAAGGGAAGGACAGCUGCUGCUUUUUCCUCACUCUUGCUUAGCUUUGAGGAAGAACUGUUUGCUGGCUUCAAAAGACUUCUUGCAUACCAAAGGUUAAACAAAAAUAGUAGGAUAAUCUCCUUGUCUCUUCUGUUUAAAAGAGAGAGAGAGAGAGAGGAAAAAAAACCACAUUAAAACAUACAAAGUAGUUUAAAAAUAGCAUUUGCUGUGGCCAGUGUGGAGCAUCUAAGAGGGAUAAUGAAUCUGCAUUUAUCCCACAAGCACAUACAAUUCAGAUGAUAUGUGCAUUCACGGAUCCUCCUGAUUUUAAAGUAUAUUUAUGUUAAUCAGAUACCUGCUGUGUACUAGUACAAGGUAUAUAUGAACCCAUCAUGUCUAAAAACAACUCAAUAAGGCAGAUAUUAUUACUCACACCUGCAUUUUAGGGGUGGGGGAAUUAAGGUACAAAGAGAUGGAGUAAAUAGGCCAACAUCAAACAGCUAGCAACUACCCAAACAAGGAAUUAAACCCAAAGUUUUUGUUCUUUCCACCCAGACAUUCCACAACCUCAAAUGAGGGAUGGGUCUUUAUCCCUCAAGAGGCCCCAUACUUGCUCCACUGAAUACAAAGGGCGAGCCCUGACCUCAGCAAUUACUGAUGCUUGACCUUGCUGAAUUCACAUGCAGGCUUUCUCAGUUUUCUUUUGGGGACAAAGAGAUGUGUCUUGUGUGAAAUAAAGCUCACAAAAUUCCCCCA
rnacentral:lncRNA from 1 species